GACGAACGCUGGCGGCGUGCUUAACACAUGCAAGUCUAACGGAAAGGCCCUGCUUCUGUGGGGUGCUCGAGUGGCGAACGGGUGAGUAACUCGUGAGUAACCUGCCCUUGACUUUGGGAUAACUUCAGGAAACUGGGGCUAAUACCGGAUAGGAGCUCCUGCUGCAUGGUGGGGGUUGGAAAGUUUCGGCGGUUGGGGAUGGUCUCGCGGCUUAUCAGCUCGUUGGUGGGGUAGUGGCUUACCAAGGCUUUGACGGGUAGCCGGCCUGAGAGGGUGACCGGCCACAUUGGGACUGAGUUACGGCCCAGACUCCUACGGGAGGCAGCAGUGGGGAAUAUUGCACAAUGGGCGGAAGCCUGAUGCAGCAACGCCGCGUGCGGGAUGACGGCCUUCGGGUUGUAAACCGCUUUCGCCUGUGACGAAGCGUGAGUGACGGUAAUGGGUAAAGAAGCACCGGCUAACUACGUG
rnacentral:rRNA from 1 species